rnacentral:rRNA from 1 species
UUAAAUUGAAGAGUUUGAUCAUGGCUCAGAUUGAACGCUGGCGGCAGGCCUAACACAUGCAAGUCGAACGGUAACAGGAAGAAGCUUGCUUCUUUGCUGACGAGUGGCGGACGGGUGAGUAAUGUCUGGGAAACUGCCUGAUGGAGGGGGAUAACUACUGGAAACGGUAGCUAAUACCGCAUAACGUCGCAAGACCAAAGAGGGGGACCUUCGGGCCUCUUGCCAUCGGAUGUGCCAGAUGGGAUUAGCUAGUAGGUGGGGUAACGGCUCACCUAGGCGACGAUCCCUAGCUGGUCUGAGAGGAUGACCAGCNACACUGGAACUGAGACACG